rnacentral:lncRNA from 1 species
AGUAAGGUGCGGUGCUUGGAGGAUUCUAUCACAGACACAAGAGAGGCAGUAAGGUGCGGUGCUUGGAGGAUUCUAUCACAUAUACAAGGGAGGCAGUAAGGUGCGGUGCUUGGAGGAUUCUAUCACAUACACAAGGGAGGCAGUAAGGUGCGGUGCUUGGAGGAUUCUGUCACAUACACCAGGGAGGCAGUAAGGCGCGGUGCUUGGAGGAUUCUAUCACAUAUACAAGGGAGGCAGUAAGGCGCGGUGCUUGGAGGAUUCUGUCACAUAUACAAGGGAGGCAGUAAGGUGCGGUGCUUGGAGGAUUCUGUCACAUACACAAGGGAGGCAGUAAGGUGCGGUGCUUGGAGGAUUCUGUCACAUACACAAGGGAGGCAGUAAGGUGCGGUGCUUGGAGGAUUCUGUCACAUACACAAGGGAGGCAGUAAGGUGCGGUGCUUGGAGGAUUCUGUCACAUACACAAGGGAGGCAGUAAGGCGCGGUGCUUGGAGGAUUCUGUCACAUACACAAGGGAGGCAGUAAGGUGCGGUGCUUGCAGGAUUCUAUCACAUAUACAAGGGAGGCAGUAAGGCGCGGUGCUUAGAGGAUUCUAUCACAUACACCAGGGAGGCAGUAAGGUGCGGUGCUUGGAGCCUCUAGAACCAGACUGCUCAGCUCUGACUCUCAGCUCUACUCUUCAUGGCUG